CAUGACCCAACUGGGCUCAAUGUGCUAAAGAAGGGCUGUGCCAGCUACUGCAACCAAACCAUCAUGGAACAAGGCUGCUGCAAAGGUUUUUUCGGGCCUGACUGCACGCAGUGUCCUGGGGGCUUCUCCAACCCCUGCUAUGGCAAAGGCAAUUGCAGUGAUGGGAUCCAGGGCAACGGGGCCUGCCUCUGCUUCCCAGACUACAAGGGCAUCGCCUGCCACAUCUGCUCGAACCCAAACAAGCAUGGAGAUCAAUGCCAGGAAGGUGGGUGGUCCUGGCUCAGGCCACCUCCUAGGGAGAAAAAAGGUCGGCUUAAAAAUGGGUCUGGGGGCU
rnacentral:sRNA from 1 species